rnacentral:rRNA from 1 species
CAGCCGCCGCGGUAAUACGAGGGGGGCAAGCGUUGUUCGGAAUUAUUGGGCGUAAAGGGCGCGUAGGCGGUUUGGCAAGUUUGGUGUGAAAUCUUCGGGCUCAACUCGAAGUCUGCACCGAAAACUGCCGGGCUUGAGUAUGGGAGAGGUGAGUGGAAUUUCCGGUGUAGCGGUGAAAUGCGUAGAUAUCGGAAGGAACACCUGUGGCGAAAGCGGCUCACUGGACCAUUACUGACGCUGAGGCGCGAAAGCUAGGGGAGCAAACAGGAUUAGAUACCCCCGUAGUCCCUGUCUCUUAUAC